rnacentral:rRNA from 1 species
AUGGGGGAAACCCUAGAUGCAGCCAUGCCGCGUGUGUGAAGAAGGCCUUCGGGUUGUAAAGCACUUUCAGUUGUGAGGAAAGGAUAGUAGUUAAUACCUGCUAUCUGUGACGUUAGCAACAGAAGAAGCACCGGCUAACUCCGUGCCAGCAGCCGCGGUAAUACGGAGGGUGCGAGCGUUAAUCGGAAUUACUGGGCGUAAAGCGCACGCAGGCGGUUUGUUAAGCUAGAUGUGAAAGCCCCGCGCUCAACGUGGGAUGGUCAUUUAGAACUGGCAGACUAGAGUCUUGGAGAGGGGAGUGGAAUUUCUGGUGUAGCGGUGAAAUGCGUA